AAUUAAUAUACAACGUUUCUUUUAUUUAAAAUGCAUUUUUCUCAUGGGUUCGUGUUUGUCAUAUAUUUUUACAACUUUCCUUGGACAAAAUCUAUUCUACAUAUUCUAUUUUUUUUUUGUAUUGUAAUAUAUAUUUUUAUUUAAAUGGCAGUUUAAAACCUUACAACAUCAUUCGCAUCAAUAUUAUUUUAUUUAACUUCUACAUACAUAUGUAUCAGGGCUGCUAACGAUUAACUCGUUUCAUUUGCUUUGGUAAUUGGUUGGAAUAAUUUUUAAUUGGAACUUUUGAUACUAUUUUUUUAUUUUAAUUUUUGUAUAGAAAAAAAAUUUUUAAAUCAAGUCCGACUAAAAUCUUGGGGAACUGAAAGAACAUUUUUUCGUAAUCUCUUGUUUUCUUUCGACAACCUCGAUCGAUUAAUCCUUCAAAACUUUUCAAACUUUCCAACCGUUUUGAUAUCGUUUGUUUCCGCCCAUGACAAAACUCAUCGCAUGACUAUUGUCUUAACUACUCGCCUAAAACUAUGCCGCAAAAACUUGAUUUUAAUAGUGGGACUAUUUAUAACAAAGAAUUUGUGGGGAGAAGAUGCUCAGAAGAAAAUCACCUAGAAUACUUUUAGGCUAAACGCUUAAGCUUCGUGCCGUUCGUAGUGAGAAUUUUUCGAAGCAUUUUUGCUAAAACAUUUACUUUGAUUCCUAGCAGAUAGUAACGCGAUUACAUUAGCAUUAUUAAUUCUGGCUGGGUGGCUGAUUGAUUAGAGGUGCGUGCAACCACUCCUGUUCCGGGAGUUGUGAAUAACGUUGUGUACUUAGGAUCCAGCACUAAUACUGAAUAACAAUAAAAAAAGGAGAGUUACUUUUGCCAACAGGCGCCCUCUCUCGGUGAAUAAUAAAUCACGGUCUACAAAUCUCUCAUCUAGCCCCGCAUUUUAUGCUGUGCAGAAACGUGUACAACGUCGAACAAAAGUAAGAAGGCUUUGGGACUUUCGAGAGAAUUAUUAUACGCAAGAUCUUUGGCCCUGUUUGCAUGGGUGAUGAAUCCGCUUUCACGUUGCAUAUUUCUAGGCCCAUACAUACAUAUGUGAUUUCUAGAAACACACUGCUGUAAAAAUUUACAAAUCGUGUGAUCCUUGGUUAGAGCAGAUUAGGGAAUAAGGAUGUAAAUCUCCGACUGGUUUUUCAGUUCGCGUUUUUCAUAUAUAUAUAUUAGUAAGAUUGCGCAUUGGAGAUGUAUGUAUAUGCUUUACCGAUAUUUCCAAAUACAAUUUUGGGGCUUUUGCUUGAUUGGAAGUGAAGUUAGGGUGUCAGUACGAGCAAAACUUGCUCAAAAUUCAACAUCAGGACCAGGGAUAGGUGUUUUUUAAUUGAUUAUUAUUCAAAUAAAAAAUAACACUUUAUUCAUAAUUUUUCUGUUUAAAUAACGAAUAAAUUUGUAUUCUUCAUUCAAGUAAUUUCGAAUGACGAAUACAUUUUUUAUUUACACGUUAUUUGAAGUUAUUCGAUUAUGAAUGAAAAUUUAUUCAGCAUUCGAAAUUACUUGAAUGAAGAAUAGAUUUUUAUUCUUCGAAAUUACUUGAAUGAUGAUGAAAAUUGAGCCUUUUUUUCAAUUAAUUACUCAUUUGCCUGAUUACGGUCAUCCCUGAUCAGGGAUCAUUAAAGAGCCCGGAAAUACCAAAACUUACUCAUUUAAAUUGUGACUGGUACGAAAUGUGGGGGUUUCAAUACGAUAUUGAAAAUAAGCUUCAAAGUGCAGAAUUGGGGACGGCAGUAAAUGCUGCGCCUGAGUCGGGGCAUCCGUGAUCGCAUGAAAUUCGGUUCAAAUUUUCACUUUCAGGUAACAGAACGCAAUCACGAGUCCGCUUUUUCAACACAAAUUGUAUUGAAGAGAAACGAGCUAUUACAUUCGAUACUCAACGAGUAAUCAAUCAUUCGAUCACGGCCCAGAUUUGCCUGCCUGUGACUUCAGCUUAUUCGCUAAAAUAUAUUUAUCCCUGCGGACGUAGAAGCCAUUCAAAAGGCUGUACCAAAAUUUUAGUGUAUAUGACAGACAAUUACCUCAAACUUUUCCCUUUUGAAUUGCGAAAAAUGUGGAAUUGAUUACGGAGGCGACUUUAUUUCACAUAAUAUAAUACAGUUUUUCCUGCUUAGCUCCGUUAGUUUUGAAACGUUGUAUAAGCAGAACUUGUUGGUAUGAAGAAAAGAAGGAAUCGAUUGGUCACUUUUAAAUAGCAUGCUUCUCACUUUUUCAACCGAUUUUCGAGAUGCUAUGCCACUCUGAAAUAACACCUAAUCGGUGUAUAUAUAUCGGAGGAUAUAUGAAAAUUUGCCCUUGAAUACUUGUAUGAAAUACGAGUAAAUGUUAUAAAGCCAAGCUUUAGCUUCUCUAGAAAGUGAGAAAAUGAUUCAGCAACAAAGUAGAAGGUUUUUCGAAAAUCUAGACAUACAUAGUUACACUCUAAAAAGUCAGCAAAUAAGAAAUAGUCCCACUAAUGAAUUUCAAAACUUUUAACAUCAGUAAAUUUAAUAGAAAAACCACAUAACAAACGAGUUACUCGCGUUCUACUCCACUCUGGAGACUUACGGCCUACUUCAGAUUACAUUUAACCUACUUAGUACAUACAUAUGACUUCACAUUCAGCUAAUUUUUGUUUUAACAUUUCUUUUAUUAAAGGUUAUUCAUAGUUUUCUUUAUGAAUCAAAUACAUUAUCUCUUUUGGUUAUGCAUAUUAAUUUUUAUUAUAUCGUUUGCUGUUUCUUUUUUCCUCAUAUAAUUUCUUUUUAAAAAUUUCAACUUACUGCUCGCAUUCGAGCCUCCUCACCUCACCGUCUUCGUAUUCUAAAAAUGCAAUUUCUUUUAUAUCUUAUAUGGUAUCAUUAGAUCAAUAUAUAUGUUUGCGUUACUAUUAUCUAAACAUACAGUAAAAUUGAAGCAUUUUUAGAAGUAUAUCUUUCAUUUACUGCUUGAAGAACCAACCAACAAAAGCUACUUGGCCAACCAUGCUUGUUUGGUUAUUUUUAAUUCUCAUUUAUUAUUUUUUAUUUAUUUAUUAUCGCUAUGCUAGUUACUUAUGUAUUUUUAAUUUUCGAUUUUUCAUAUACCAGCAAAAUUUUCAAUACAACAUUUUUAUUAUUUUUUUAAUUUUGUAAUAUUUACUUGCCACAUUGCCAACUUAUUGCUUCUAGGCUGCUGCAAAAACUUGUUAACGAUAUUCUUGCCGCUGCAUUUCUUAAGAAACUACAUACAUAUAAUUUUUGUGACAAAAUCGUUGCAAAAAUACACAACUCAUAUUUUAGCUCAGCAGCUUGGUGAGCAAUUAAGGUUGCAUGGAAUUAAAAAAAAUAUAUAUAUAC